rnacentral:rRNA from 1 species
CACGUAGGGGGCAAGCGUUGUCCGGAUUUAUUGGGCGUAAAGAGCGUGUAGGCGGUCCGGUAAGUCAGCUGUGAAAGUCAAGGGCUCAACCCUUGAAUGCCGGUUGAUACUGUCGGGCUAGAGUCCGGAAGAGGCGAGUGGAAUUCCCGGUGUAGCGGUGAAAUGCGCAGAUAUCGGGAGGAACACCAAUGGCGAAGGCAGCUCGCUGGGACGGUACUGACGCUGAGACGCGAAAGCGUGGGGAGCAAACAGG